AUUUUUAUUGCAAUAUGAUACAGUAUCGUUAUAUACAAAAUAAAAUUAAAAUACAAUUAUUUAUUUAGAUUUUUUUCAAAGGAUUGUGCAAAUUGUUUUCCCUUACUGAGAAGUAAAUUAGUAAAAAAAAAAUUACUCACAAAUGUAUUUGGCUGUUUAAAAUUUUUUUUUAUUUUUACUCCGUAUUUUGACAUUUUUGCUCCAGAAAUGAAUCCAAAGCAGUCUUAAACCCAUUUUAUUUUCCCUAAAAAUAGAACCAUUGUUCUAUCAUAAAACGUCAGAAGUUGGUGGAUCAUAUUUAUAGUGAAUAUGAAUCUCUGCACGUUCAGUUCCUCUGCCGGACUCCACCUUAUUUUAAACGCUUAGCCAUCUGUAAGUUAACUCUCGUUCACUUUAUUUUUAGCAGUGCAAAAUAGCUCCUUACAACUGCUUGAUUGUGCAAACUGACAUUUCUUUGUGUUAUUGUUAUUAUAUAGUCAAAAACACUUCAGCAGUUAAUGAAGCAGGAUUCUGGCACGUUCACUGAAAAUGGCUUACUUCUGUGGCUUGCGGUGAAAUGAGGUGAAUGCAUGCACUAAAAGCAAGUGGCUCACAAAACUGACAUAAUUCUAAAAUGAUGUGUUCUUGUUACGGUGUAAUUAUUCAGGUAUUGACUAAUAUAAAAUAACUACAUGUACUUACUGUACGGUUAGGAUGGUUUUGGGUUAGGUGGAUGCAUAGUUUAUGGUUACUAUAGUAAGUACAUGUAAAGUGUAACCAAGAAACUAGCGUUAUUUUUCUUGCAGGUGCCUCUUUGUUAUUUGAUGCAACGAACAUGCAGACAUUUCAAAGUGUGACGUGAAGUGAGACAGCAGAGUUUCCCCCGAACAGCGUCCUCUCUCCGUGGCUUCUGAUUGGCCGGCCUGGGGUUUGUCCGAGCGCAGAAGCUGUGUUCCUGGUUGCGGCGGUUAGCAUGCGAGUACAAGAGUAUUUACGGAAACAGUUCGCAGCUUUUGAUUGCAGCUGCAGGAGCUUCACAGGUCAGCGUGUUUAUCCAGAUGGCGGACAUCAAGAUCCACAUGAGAAGUGCUAAUUGUUUUCCAGUGUGAUCAGCUAUCAGCUAUCAUCGUUCGAUAUCUCCCAUCUGUCUGGAAGCACAAGGAGGCUGAUGGAUCCGAACACUGGGCCCGCUCCUCACUCUCGGCGCUAACGACUGGAUAUCAACAAGUUUCACAAGGACGUGACUGUGGUUCUUAAGUUAAUAAAUCUUUGGCCAGUGAUUGUUUUCGAUACUCAUUUGCGGCUCAGGAACUAACUGCUGUUAUGAUCUUUAACACAGUACAAAAGAGAUUGCGCAUAAAAGCCUGCUCACAUGGAACAGGAAUGCAGUGGGAACAAACACCAGUACAAGCCUUUGCUUAUAUGGCUGUACAUGUAUAACGAAGUGAUCUGGAAUUCAUCAUAAUUCCUUUUAAUCUAUCUGAGCGGAAUUUUACAUUACACAUUCAAGGCUGUAAAAAAAAGUCUCCCAGAAGGCAUUAGCAGACUAGACAUUUAUGUACACGAGACUUGACUGGACUAACAAUCAGUAUGUCAUUUGUCAAAGCCAGUGUUUUUUUAAAAGAUCGUAUUUUUUUUGGUUUAUAAGAUGGACAACUGUCCUAGAUUCAGAACACUCCAAGAGAAUAUUUUAUCACUCCAGGGUUGCACUGUGGUGUUACUGUCACUGCAAUAUUCAUAAUACGGCCUUAGAUAUUUUUAAAAUAACAUUCAUGAGGCGCUGUGCGAAAAAUAACAACAUAAGCUCUAUACAAACUCUAUAAUUCACUGCCGUUUCCAGCUGGCAGUAAAACCCCAGCCGCUUUUAUUCCGUUUGACACAAAUUAUGAUUAUGACAGUGAUUAUAAAUCAAUAAAGACCUACUUUUGUGUGAUUUUUGAGCUCAAAACGAAUACAUUUUGAUGUUUGCAGCUCCAUACGUUUGCCUUUUCUGAUUUAGUAAAAUCGCUCAGUAGCGCACCCGGUAAAGCACUGUACUUGUGACAUGAAGCGCUCCUGUGAAGCACGUGUCGAUAUUAAAUGGCACGGUUACUUCAGCAAACCCGCUUUUAUCUUACUUCUGCUUUUGUUUUCAGAUUAUUUCCCUGCAUACUCUAUUACUCUUUCAUUGGUCAGGCAAACAAAUAGCCCCACCCCCAACUCACACAACAGAUUGGUUGCUGUGUCAGAGUAGCCAGGAUGGAUCGAGAAAACGCAAAUGCAACAAAUAACUUGAGGAUUAUAGAUCUGCAUUUCUAAAAUAUUCCAUAUGGAGGGCUGUAAGGAGUUAAAUGCCCCAGGCAUGUUUGGUCGCGUAUAUAUUUGGAGACAUAAAUGUGAUACGACAUUACUGACAAGUAUAUUUUAAACGUUCACAUCACAUGGUCAUAUUGACAUGCACCGUAGCUCCAGCAGAUCCUCUUGUUUAUAGCACACAGCUGCUGUGUCACACAGUUGGAGGCGUCUGUUCGUAGCUCAGGCACCUCUGACCUUCUGACAGCGCCAGGCCUCACCAGUCCCUCAACGUUUAGGAAACCCUGCCUGCAUUCCGGUUUCUCUCCACGUACGUGAGCCCGUGACGACACCUAAUCUGUCAGCGCGGCGCUCUUGUGUAAGAGAGUCAGGGCUGGAACUCCUGAUUGGACGUAAUGGCGGUACGCCGCAGAUCUGCUGAGGUGUCACAGCUGUGUACAAGAGCCUGACUGAUAGCUGAAGCUCAAGGUUGCCAGCGCUGAUACCAGCUGCUGUGAAACUUCAGGAGUCAGAGGAAAAUCCUCAGCACAGGGUUUCUCAUUUUUUAUACCAACAGUGCUUAUAUUGCAGAAUGUCUUGGUUGUGGAUGGUCUUUUUAUGCCACUGAGGUUAAAUACCUCGAUUUAUUGUACGGCAUUUAAACCAGUAGUUGUUUUACAUGUGAAAUGAGAUUAUUAU